UCCAGCAGCCAUAUCACUCUGCAACUCUCAACUGGCAGCCCAUUGAAGCUCAGCAGGUGAGGUGAGCCUGGUCAGUACCUGGAUGGGAGACCUCCUGGGAAAAACUAAGGUUGCUGCUGGAA
rnacentral:rRNA from 1 species